AGUUCAAGACCAGCUUGGCCAACAUGGUGAAACUCCGUCUCUACAAAAAUAUUUUUAAAAAUUAGCCAGGCAUGAUUAUGGGUGCCUGUAAUCCCAACUACUCAGGAGGCUGAGGCGGGAGAAUUGCUUGAACCUGGGAGGCGGAGGUUGCAGUGAGCCGAGAUUGUGCCAUUGCACUCCAGCCUAGGCGACAGAGCGAGACUCCAUCUCAAAAAAAAAAAAAAAAAAAAAAUUAACUAUAAUUCUUCUUGGUUUAGUGGUAGACGGAGGAGAAGUCCAUCCCCACCACCCACCAGAAGGCGACGGUCUCCUUCUCCCGCCCCUCCUCCUCGGCGGCGCAGGACUCCCACACCACCACCACGACGAAGGACUCCUUCUCCUCCCCCACGUCGGCGCUCACCUUCUCCUAGAAGAUACUCUCCUCCAAUACAGAGGAGAUACUCUCCUUCUCCACCUCCAAAGAGAAGAACAGCUUCACCUCCUCCCCCUCCUAAACGAAGAGCAUCACCA
rnacentral:sRNA from 1 species